CCUGCCCUUUGCACUGGGAUAGCCUCGGGAAACCGAGGUUAAUACCGGAUACUCCAUAUAUAUCGCAUGAUGUAUAUGGGAAAGCUCCGACGGCAAAGGAUGGGCCCGCGGCCUGUUAGCUAGUUGGUGGGGUAACGGCCUACCAAGGCAAUGAUGGUAGCCGGUUGAGAGACCGACCGGCCAGAUUGGGACUGAGACACGGCCCAGACUCCUACGGGAGGCAGCAGUGGGGAAUCUUGCACAAUGGGCGAAAGCCUGAUGCAGCGACGCCGCGUGCGGGAUGAAGGCCUUCGGGUUGUAAACCGCUUUCAGCAGGGACGAGGCCGCAAGGUGACGGUACCUGCAGAAGAAGCCCCGGGCUAACUACGUGCCAGCAGCCGCGGUAAAU
rnacentral:rRNA from 1 species